rnacentral:tmRNA from 1 species
GGGGGCGAUGAGAAUCGACUCGGACCAGUGAGCAGUGAGGGGCAUGCCGAGGUUGUCAGGAGGCCUCGUAAAAAACCUGACAUCUGACAAGUGCCAACUACAACCCAGUAGCAGAAGCGGAGAGCAUUCUCGCUUCUGAGGCACUCCAAGUCGCUGCCUAAGUAAUUAGGUAGCGCCGUGACCUGGUCAGCCUGCGGGCCGGGUGGCGAAUGAGCAGGCUGGCUGCGGUUUUCGCCACUGAGGAUCGCAGCGAGAUGGAUAUCAGAGGCUAGAUCCUGAUGCGCCCGUUCCGCAGGCGGGUUGGGGUCAAAGGCACGAUGCGGAACUACGCAUGUAGAGGGCUCACGUUCUCGAUCCGAACACGCGGGUGCAAAUCCCGCCGCCUCCACCA